AUUGAACGCUGGCGGCAGGCCUAACACAUGCAAGUCGAGCGAGCGGCGGACUGGUGAGUAAUGUCUGGGAAACUGCCUGAUGGAGGGGGAUAACUAUUGGAAACGGUAGCUAAUACCGCAUACCAUCAGAUGUGCCCAGCUGGGAUUAGCUAGUAGGUGUGGUAUCGGCUCACCUAGGCGACGAUCCCUAGCUGGUCUGAGAGGAUGACCAGCCAAGCUGGAACUGAGCCACGGUCCAAAAUCCUACGGGAGGCAGCAGUGGAGAAUAUUGCACAAUGGGUGAAAGCCUGAUGCAGCGAUGCCGCGUGUGUGAAGCAGGCCUUCGGGUUGUAAAGCACUUUCAGCGGGGAGGCGUUACCCGCAGAAGAAGCACCGGCUAACUCCGUGCCAGCAGCCGCGGUAAUUC
rnacentral:rRNA from 1 species